CGGGCUGCCUCGGGGCCUCCGGGGUGGCGAGGGCGGUGGUAGGCUGCGCCUCCACCUUCGUCGUGGUUGAGUACAUGGCAAGCGAGCAUGACACAGUUAGCAGCUCCUGGCUUUGCUGCAGGCCAUUCAAAUUCUCCAUGGGUGCUGUUUUUGCUACCUGUGCUGCAGAAUUGUGCAGGUAUGGGACUUCAAGGUAAACUGAACAGGAGAUGACUGACCCGAGGCAGACCUUGAAAUCUCAAAGAUGAGAAGUGGGACCAGACAAGACGAGACAACUGAGACGAGAACUAAUUAAAGGACUUUGAUGAACGAUAAGACCUGGGAAC